rnacentral:rRNA from 1 species
GAUGAACGGCUGGCGGCGUGCCUAAUACAUGCAAGUCGAGCGGCAGCGAGUCCUUCGGGAUGUCGGCGAGCGGCGGACGGCUGAGUAACGCGUAGGAACGUACCCCAAACUGAGGGAUAACUGCUCGAAAGAGUAGCUAAUACCGCAUGUGAUCUCCGGAUUAAAGCUUCGGCGGUUUGGGAACGGCCUGCGUACGAUUAGAUUGUUGGUGAGGUAAUGGCUCACCAAGUCGAUGAUCGUUAGCUGGUCUGAGAGGAUGAUCAGCCAGACUGGGACUGAGAACGGCCCAGACUCCUACGGGAGGCAGCAGUAGGGAAUUUUCCACAAUGGGCGAAAGCCUGAUGGAGCAACGCCGCGUGCAGGAUGAAUGCCUUCGGGUUGUAAACUGCUUUUAUAUGUGACGAAUAUGACGGUAGCAUAUGAAUAAGGAUCGGCUAACUCCGUG